UAUACAACCUCCAAUACUAUGCAGCAACAGAAGAGAAUGAAGUAACGUCUUUUGCAGCAACAUGAAUGCAGCUCUGCUUCAGGCCAUUCUAAGCAAAUUAUUGCAUCAGAAAAACAAAUGCCACAUGUUCUCACUCAUACAUGGAUGCUAAAAAUUGGGCGCACAUGGAAUUAGGGAAAAAGAAACAAUCUGGUUUAGUAGAGGAGAGGCAUUGAAAUGAAACAAGGAGGGCAGGAAACACCUAAAAAGGUUGAGGCUGCUGACACACCCUGAUAACUGGUAGCUAUAGUUAUAUUUGCUAAGAUUUGGGUGCAUGAGGCUUGGCUUUGGUUAGUUCCCUUGAUCUUACUUUCUGAUAAAAGAAAGCUCUGGGUUAUUGGCACCUUAUUUAUUUCUAUCACCCAGCCAAUGGGUGCAGCACACCAGCAUGGCACAUGUAUACAUAUGUAACUAACCUGCACAUUGUGCACAUGUACCCUAAAACUUAAAGUAUAAUAAUAAUAAAAUAAAAUUUAAUUUAAAAAAAAUUUGAUAGGCUUUGAUGGAAAUCUGUUCCAAAAGAAAUCUUAGAUAGGACUUUAUAAAGCUGGGCCAAGCCAUGGAUUUGUACCCUUAAAUACCUGUGAGUUGGUUAAACUCCUGUAUUUUUGAGGUUCCAAGAGCAUAGUGUUUCUAAGUCUGUUAGAAAGUGACAUUUUUUU
rnacentral:lncRNA from 1 species